rnacentral:rRNA from 1 species
GAUGAACGCUGGCGGCGUGCCUAAUACAUGCAAGUCGAGCGAACGGACGAGAAGCUUGCUUCUCUGAUGUUAGCGGCGGACGGGUGAGUAACACGUGGAUAACCUACCUAUAAGACUGGGAUAACUUCGGGAAACCGUAGCUAAUACCGGAUAAUAUUUUGAACCGCAUGGUUCAAAAGUGAAAGACGGUCUUGCUGUCACUUAUAGAUGGAUCCGCGCUGCAUUAGCUAGUUGGUAAGGUAACGGCUUACCAAGGCAACGAUGCAUAGCCGACCUGAGAGGGUGAUCGGCCACACGGGAACUGAGACACGGUCCAGACUCCUACGGGAGGCAGCAGUAGGGAAUCUUCCGCAAUGGGCGGAAGCCUGACGGAGCAACGCCGCGUGAGUGAUGAAGGUCUUCGGAUCGUAAAACUCUGUUAUUAGGGAAGAACAUAUGUGUAAGUAACUGUGCACAUCUUGACGGUACCUAAUCAGAAAGCCACGGCUAACUACGUG